GCCUGAGCUUGUCGCAGUAUCCGCCGGGGCAGUUGUGCAGGAUACACGUUUUUCGACAGUUUUGGAUGUUGCACCUUUCCGGCUCUCCGUCGGCGAAUCCCAGCAGCGAGGCGUCCAUCCGAUUCAGGGCGAGCAGAGCGUGGUCCAGUCCGUUCACGCCUAGUUCACAAGAGAGAGGACUACAAACACGUACCGGACCAGAGCAAUGUAGAAUCUUGCAUUCACUACAGUCUCACUCUACUUAUGGCGUCAGCCAAGAUGUCUUACAAGUGUGAGCCACGCUUGUCUCGAACUGUUCAGUGUUCACCGUGAAAAUAGGGUACUUCGGAGAAGAGCUGUGACGGAAGUUGAGAAGAAAUCAAGAAGAACAAAUGCCGGACUUAAGUGAGAUCAGCGGAAGCGGCAGCACGGCGACGCAGACGCUCAUUCUCGUGAAUUUGUCAUAUUUCGUAACGCGCACUGAACUCGAGUACUCAGCACUACUUACUAAUGGGAUUACUAAACAGAUUUUCUCCGAACCCUAUUUGACUCCAAAUGCCGCCUGACCUUGUAUCGGCGGCGUGCCGUCAGAGCUGAGCACUGGUUCGAUGAGGAACUCGUCAUCAGUCAGACGGAGGUGUGACGAACCAUCGGCCGCCUUCACGGCC